rnacentral:rRNA from 1 species
ACUCCUACGGGAGGCAGCAGUGGGGAAUAUUGCACAAUGGGCGCAAGCCUGAUGCAGCCAUGCCGCGUGUGUGAAGAAGGCCUUCGGGUUGUAAAGCACUUUCAGUCGUGAGGAAGGUAGUGUAGUUAAUAGCUGCAUUAUUUGACGUUAGCGACAGAAGAAGCACCGGCUAACUCCGUGCCAGCAGCCGCGGUAAUACGGAGGGUGCGAGCGUUAAUCGGAAUUACGUGGGCGUAAAGCGCAUGCAGGUGGUUUGUUAAGUCAGAUGUGAAAGCCCGGGGCUCAACCUCGGAAUAGCAUUUGAAACUGGCAGACUAGAGUACUGGUAGAGGGGGUUAGAA